AUACGUAGGUGGCAAGCGUUGUCCGGAAUUAUUGGGCGUAAAGCGCGCGCAGGUGGUCCUUUAAGUCUGAUGUGAAAGCCCACGGCUCAACCGUGGAGGGUCAUUGGAAACUGGGGGACUUGAGUGCAGAAGAGGAUAGUGGAAUUCCAAGUGUAGCGGUGAAAUGCGUAGAGAUUUGGAGGAACACCAGUGGCGAAGGCGACUAUCUGGUCUGUAACUGACACUGAGGCGCGAAAGCGUGGGGAGCAAACAGGAUUAGAUACCCUGGUAGUCCACGCCGUAAACGAUGAGUGCUAAGUGUUGGGGGGUUUCCGCCCCUCAGUGCUGCAGCUAACGCAUUAAGCACUCCGCCUGGGGAGUACGGUCGCAAGACUGAAACUCAAAUGAAUUGACGGGG
rnacentral:rRNA from 1 species